AUGCUCGCUUCUCCAGCCCAUAUACUAAAACUGGAACGAUACAGAGAAGAUUAGCAUGGCCCCUGAGUAAGGAUGGCACACAAAUUCGUGAAGCGUUCCAUAUUAAA
rnacentral:snRNA from 1 species